GUUCAAUCCCCAGAACCAUACACACAAAAAGUGGUUGAGUCCUUUUUAGGCUGAGAAAGUCAAGUAUGUCUUCUCUUCAUACGGAAAGAUGACUCGACUGAUCCAUCUAGGAUGUUUGAUCCAUCGCAUAUGUUUGGGGAUUUUGAGGCAGUCGUUGUUUUGAAACAUUCCCUCACUUGCCCAUUUAUUUUCUCUGUGGACCCAGGAGAGCUCAGCCCAGGGAUGUCUUAUCUCCAGCCAAAGCUGGAAACAGCAGAUUAUGUAGCUUGGGGCUAACACAGCCACUGCUGUUUCAUUUCCCUGGACUUAAAGAGCCAAGAAUGUUUGCAUAUCUUGCAUAUCCCACAUGUCCCACAUACCCCUUCCCUGUGGCUUCCCUCCUGCCCCUCCAAAGCCUGCUGAUAGUCUACCGUGAGUCCCUAUCUCUCCCUCUGUGCCUUCCUCUGUGGUGGGGGUGAUAUUUCUGUGGUCAGAGUUCUUGGAAAGCUUGCAUGUUGGAGGCUAUGGAAAAUAGGCUGAAGGUGGAUCAGUCAUUCCUUCGUUCAACCAACUCCUAUCAAAUGCAAGCAUGUAGGACUUACAGUAUUGGAGAUCCCUUAGGCACAAACCCCAUAGCUGCUUGACAUCGAAUUAGUGUUGUAUCACUGCCACCUGUGAGAAAUAAUGUAGGGGCACUUGGGCUGAAAGGUAAAAGAAAGCUAUCAUUGAAGCUGCUCCUUUUGCCAGGUAUGGUUGCACACACCUGUCAUCCCAGCACUUGGGAAGCUGAGGCAGGAGGAUUGCUGAGGGUUCAAGGCCAGCCAGCCUGUGCUACAUAGUUCAAGGCCAGCUGGACUACAUAGCAAGGCCCUGUCUUAAAAAAAAAAAAAAAAAAAAGGAAAUGCCUAGUACAGUCAUUCACCAGCCACAAUGUUUAAUUUUGGGGGGGGAAGUGGUACUGGGGAUCGAACUUGGGGCCUUGCACUUGUGAGGCAGGCGACGGCAGAACCACUGAGCUAAAUCCCUGGCCCCAUGAUGUUUUAUACUAGUUUCCUGCUUCCAGUUGUAAGAAUGCAAUGUUCACUUUCAUCCCUAAUGCCCACUGCCCAGUGAAUUUCAUACUCCUUAUGUAUAUAGAAGAACUACUGAGAAGACCCUGGAAUAAACAACACACACACAAUUAAUAAAUACUCAGAUAAAUGCUAUCUGAUAAGAGAUGACUGGCUGAGCAUUUGUUGAGCAUCUGCUAUGGGCAGGUACUAUGUUAGGUUUCUAGGAGGCCCUACAACACAUGCCACUCCUCUUGCUCCACUGUCAGAACUCAUCGCCUACUGCCUACCACUCUGCCCCAGCUACAUCAGUCUCCCUGUCCCUCAGACCCGCCAGGUAUGCUCCCAACAAAGGGCCUUCGUGGAGCUGUUCCCUUAGCCUGGCACUUUCUUCCCC
rnacentral:lncRNA from 1 species